rnacentral:rRNA from 1 species
UACAGAGGUCUCAAGCGUUGUUCGGAUUCAUUGGGCGUAAAGGGUGCGUAGGCGGCGCGGUAAGUCAGGUGUGAAAUCUCGGGGCUCAACCCCGAAACUGCACUUGAUACUGCAGUGCUUGAGGACUGGAGAGGAGAUUGGAAUUCAUGGUGUAGCAGUGAAAUGCGUAGAUAUCAUGAGGAAGACCAGUGGCGAAGGCGGAUCUCUGGACAGUUCCUGACGCUGAGGCACGAAGGUCAGGGGAGCAAACGGG